UACGGAGGGGGGCUAGCGUUGUUCGGAAUUACUGGGCGUAAAGCGCGCGCAGGCGGCUAUCCAAGUCAGUGGUGAAAGCCCGGAGCUCAACUCCGGAACUGCCAUUGAAACUGUUUAGCUUGAGGACGAGAGAGGUGAGUGGAAUUCCCAGUGUAGAGGUGAAAAUUCGUGGAUAUUGGGAAGAACACCGGUGGCGAAGGCGGCUCACUGGCUCGUAUCUGACGCUCAGGCGCGAUAGCGUGGGGAUCAAACAGG
rnacentral:rRNA from 1 species